rnacentral:rRNA from 1 species
CUUAGUGGCGGACGGGUGAGUAACGCGUGGGUAACCUGCCUUAUACAGGGGGAUAACACUUAGAAAUAGGUGCUAAUACCGCAUAAGCGCACGGGGCUGCAUGGCCCAGUGUGAAAAACUCCGGUGGUAUAAGAUGGACCCGCGUCUGAUCAGCUUGUUGGCGGGGUAACGGCCCACCAAGGCGACGAUCAGUAGCCGGCCUGAGAGGGUGGACGGCCACAUUGGGACUGAGACACGGCCCAAACUCCUACGGGAGGCAGCAG